rnacentral:lncRNA from 1 species
AAAUGGAAGACUAAAAUUGACUGAUUUUACAGAAUUAGCUGACUCAGUUUCACCCAUUUGCAAUCUGCUUAUAAAAAAUUAUAAAUAAUUGACUCUAUUAAAUAGUCAAAUAAUAAUAUUUUGAUGAUUUAAAAAAAAAAAAGAAAAAGCGAAAGUUAAAAGUAAGACACCCAAGGAAAAAAAAAAAAAAAAGUUGUGGAAUAUCUAUGAUAAGUUAUCUUACUGUCUUAAUGAGAUCUUAUAUGUAGUAAUAAUGUAGAUAUGACAGAUUCAUCUUCACCCUUUUUGUUUGAAAAUGAUAUGAUAUUAUGUAAUAAUUUUUACAUGUUAAAUUCUUUUUCAUUUUUUAAAAUAAUGCAUAAAAAUCAUUCAAAAAAAAAAAAACCACAAUAAAACUAGAGCAUUUAAAAUCAACAAAAAUAGAAUUAUUAAAAUAACUGAUCAAAAUUUAAUAUAUUAAUAAAAAAUGAUGGAAACUAAAAAUUUUAUUCACCAUUACUAGUUAAAAAAAAAAAAUAGCAGCCCAAGUUAAAGUAUCAAUAGAACAAUACCCCCUAUUUAAUAAUUUCAUGACAAAUGCAUAAAUUCAUCAUUGUAUUUUUUACGUAAAAGAUUUUAUGACACCUUCAACUUUUAUUUUAAUCUAUUAAAACAAUUUAUAAAGUUGUACCAAUUACAUAUUUCAAGUUAUAAAAGUUAUUAUAUUGAAUAUUUAAACUUUUAAAAUUAUAUCAAUUAAAAAUUUAUUAGAUUGUUGAAAAAUGUGAAAAUUAUUAUUUUAAAAAUUAUACUAACCAUACAUUAAGUGAAUCUAUUACACAUAAAUAUUAAAAACACAAAAAAAUAUUAUUAUUAAUUUAGAGAAGAAUACAAUAUCAGUAAAAUUAAUAACUUUAAAAGCAUAAUAGAUCACUCAUAAAAUUAAUAAUACUAUAAAAUUUUUUCUGUAAAAUAUGAAAAUAUAUUUAUGCAUUUUAGCCUAUAUUUAUUAUUAACUAGGCACAGCUUAAAAUUGCCAAAUUGGACAUUCACGACAGUUUACAAAUGUUUAAUCGAGUAAUAGAUUGAUCAAAGCGAAAAAAAGGUGUAGUGAAUUUUGGUUUGGUUGUCGAGGGUGAGAGAUUGACCAGAGCAAGGAAAACAAUGGGCCUGAAAAAAAGCAAGGGUAAAAGAGUAAAAGCAGAAAGAUAUCACAGUCUCCAACGGCAGUACACCGUUACGUGCAAAAGAAUUCAAAAGGCAACUUGCGACAAUAUCGAUGAUACCCCUACCCACUACUUUCUAUACUUAACUUUCUUGCUGUUUUGCUAACCCCUACCCUUCAAUAAAACCCCUUGUCUCUGCCCUCUUUCUCACAUCUCACUCUCUUUAUCAAAACCCUUUCUGUUGAAAUCUCUCCUCUAUCUACUGUUCAAUCAUGUCUGCUUACACGGGCAAAUACGCCGGUAAACUCUCGAUUUUUCCUUGCUCUUUCUGUUUGUUUCCCUAGAUUCUUGUAGUUGUUAUGUCCUCUGAUUUUCCUGUUAGAUCUUAUCUUCGUAGUGCUGUCUAAUUUUAAUUUAAUUGCUUUUGUUAGAUUGUUUUUGUUCUUAGAUUAUUUGUUUAGAUCUCUUGUUCAACCAAUUACGGACAUUUUUUGUUAUCAGAAAAUGUUUUGUGGGUUAACAUCGGAAUCAGAUUCUACUUAUGAGGAUUUAUAGUUGAUUCUGAUCAUAUUGGAUGAGUAUAACAAGAAUAUUGUGUCAUUAAGCAGAUCUAUUUGCAUUUAAUCUGUUUAAUCGGAUCUCUUUCGAUAUCAGUAGUUUGUAAAACUAAAAUUUUAAGUCACAGUUUUGAUUAAGCUAAGAUUACUAAAUUUUUAAUGGAGAAGAUCUGAGAUUUGAUGGAUCUGAGCCUGGAGUUAAUGGCUGUAGCUAACUAGUUGCUACUGUUUCAUAACAUGCAUCAUAUGAUGUAUGCUAUGAUUGUAUUUUUUAUUUCUUGAUCUUCAUAAAGAUCUAUAUUAAUAUCAAGUUAAAUUCUAUUAUGUAUUUGUGUUUUAGAUAAGGUUGAUUGUGCAAGAGUAGAAUGGAUUAUGUUUUGUUAAACGAUUUUAUCUGCGGGGGAAUUAUUUCUUUCAUUAGUUUUCAAUUACUUUUAUUUGUUGUCUAAGUUGAUUUUUGAUUGGUAUUUGUUUUUUUGACGUGGAUCCAUGAUAUUUUGAUGGUUUUGUGCUUUCGUGAAUUUGCUAUUUUGAGGUUAUCUAAAAUCGUGUCCAAUUAAAAUUUCGCUCUCUUUGCAGAUGAGCUCAUCCGCAAUGCUGCCUACAUUGGCACCCCUGGGAAGGGUAUUCUUGCAGCUGAUGAAUCUACUGGAACUAUUGGCAAGCGCCUUGCCAGCAUAAAUGUUGAGAAUGUUGAGGAGAACAGGCGUGAUCUUCGUGAGCUCCUCUUCACAACUCCUGGAGCCCUCCAAUACCUCAGUGGAGUGAUUCUCUUUGAGGAAACCCUCUACCAGAAGAGUAAAUCAGGUAAUUUUCUUAAUGGGAUUUUCUGUUUUAUAUAUAUAUAUAUAUAUAUAUAUAUAUAUAUAUUCUUUUUAAUCCAAAUAUUUUGCAAGAAUGAUGUGUUCAUUAUCUGCUUGAUCUCAUUAUCUGAUGACUUUCUUUUUGCUUGAAUUGCUUUCUGAUUUGAAUGUUGCUGUGCAGGUAAACCUUUUGUUGAUAUUUUGAAGGAGGGUGGUGUCCUCCCUGGUAUUAAGGUCGACAAGGGUACUGUUGAGCUUGCCGGCACCAAUGGUGAGACUACCACCCAGGGUCUUGAUGGCCUUGCCCAACGAUGCCAGAAGUACUACGAAGCUGGUGCCCGAUUUGCCAAAUGGCGUGCUGUGCUUAAGAUUGGCCCUAAUGAACCAUCUCAGCUUUCCAUUAAUGAGAAUGCGAAUGGGUUGGCUAGGUAUGCCAUCAUCUGCCAGGAGAAUGGCUUGGUACCAAUUGUGGAGCCUGAGAUUUUGGUUGAUGGACCUCAUGACAUUAAGAAGUGCGCUGAUGUAACUGAGCGGGUUCUUGCUGCUUGCUACAAGGCUCUCAAUGACCACCAUGUUUUGCUUGAGGGAACUCUUUUGAAACCCAACAUGGUGACUCCAGGAUCAGAAUCCGCCAAGGUUGCACCAGAGGUGAUUGCUGAGUACACGGUCCGUGCCCUCCAAUGCACUGUGCCUGCCGCUGUUCCUGCUGUUGUGUUCUUGUCUGGUGGGCAGAGUGAGGAGGAAGCUACCGUCAACCUGAAUGCGAUGAACAAGCUCAAGACCAAGAAGCCAUGGUCCCUUUCCUUCUCAUUUGGACGUGCACUUCAACAAAGUACCCUCAAGGCUUGGGCAGGUAAGCCAGAGAAUGUGCAGAAGGCUCAAGCUGCAUUCCUGGUCAGGGCUA